rnacentral:misc_RNA from 1 species
AACUGGAGUCUGAUUUGCAGACUACCCCUUGUCGCAUUCCAUGUCCUAGUGCAGGAUCCAUUGGUAUAAACAAGCAGAAAACGUGACUGAAUGACAACACAUAGCAAACACACAGAUGAUGCUGGUUUCAUACCAAGAGCUGCAAGAAAGACCAGCUCAAAAGGGAUUGUUCCAUGUUUGUCUGUUUCGUGCUAACGUCUUUUGAACGCUGUUCCGCAAUUACGCUCCUUUGUGAUGUAUCUUUGGGUCUGGCCCAACCCAUGGUCUGCUACAACUGCAUAGGAAAUAGCAACAAAAAAAAAGUUUGGAUUUACUUUGUGAUAUAGAACUGUCAACUGCAAGGGAGUUCUUGUGUUUGGAUUUUCAAGAUCAAAUCACCUCAAGAAGCUGUAGAGUCUAAGACCCACACAUUUAAGACUAGGAUAUUCAGGAAUCCCCAUAGCUGUGGUUUUUGUAAGGAGAUCAUAUGGAAUGAGGGUAGAAUAUGCAGAGUAUGUAGAUUUGCUUGCCACAAACGGUGUGAAUACAAGGUAAGUGCUACCAAUUUCCAUUCUGCCAGUUUCUUCUCCACUUAACUGAUGGCCAAAAAUGAUAUAUUAUUUGAAUUGAGCCAAGAGAGUCUAUAUGGAUAAAUACACAUUUUGAUGGGGAAAUUAAUUUCACAUUUGGCAUGAUUAGUGUGAGAGGUCAGAGCAAUGAAAUCGUGUUUCGGAGCCAGAACAGCAUUAAGUCAUAUGAUUUUGGACCAAGAUAAUGUCCUUCUUGCGCCAAGCAAAUGGAAUGAAUUAGACAUUCCAUUUAUUUCUCAUGGGAGACAUUCACUACAUUAGGAGUAAUCUGGCAACAACAUAUGGGUUAGGGGAAAAAGAAGGAAAUGUAAAAUUUAGAAAUACAGAGCGAGGUUUGAGAAAAAAAGUCAUGGGAUGUUUUAGAAAAUUGUGAGAGACACCCCCAAAAGGAGAAUAGCUAUACUGAGAAAUAACAAUUUUCAGUUGAUGCUGAGCCUGCAGAGUACAAACUUGUUGAUUUAUAGGUAACAAUACCACAUAAAUCGUUUAUUGAGCGCCAUUAUCAUUUCCUUGAAUAUAAGCCAUUCUUCCUCCCACUUGAUUUCCAUCUUCAAACAAUGUCACAAUUUCCUUCCAACAAGCGUGACCGCAAUCAUUUUAGCCUACACGAAGCAGAAACGGACAUUAGGGUUGACCGUAUAAUCCAUUCAUGUAUCAUCUUGGAAUAUUUAACAAAUAAAGUCGUAAUAUCCUGAAAUAUUCAACAAAUAAAAUCGUAAUUAAGGAUCAUAAAUUUGCAAUAUCCUGUUUCGAGUUUGGCAGUCGUGGAGUGAAAUAUUAUUGGAGAUAUUCAUUCAACCAGGUCAGGCAUGUUAUUAGCCAAUUUGAAGGGCAACUUGAGUCGGCAAUCAAUCUGUUCAUGCAAGAAAUCAUCAGGCUUCAGAAAAAACGUGCAAACUAUAAAAGGAAUGUGAAUGAGAAUGCAAAGUUAUCUUUUGUUUUGCAUUAUAGGUUAUUGAAUCAUAAUGCUGUUGGCUGGUAAAAGGGCAUUGCUGUG